GCUUAACACAUGCAAGUCGAACGGAGUUACAUGAAACCUAGUGAUUGUAAACUUAGUGGCGGACGGGUGAGUAACGCGUGGGUAACCUGCCUUAUACCGGGGGACAACAGUUAGAAAUGACUGCUAAUACCGCAUAAGCGCACGGUGUCGCAUGACACAGUGUGAAAAACUCCGGUGGUAUAAGAUGGACCCGCGUCUGAUUAGCCAGUUGGUGAGGUAACGGCCCACCAAAGCAACGAUCAGUAGCCGGCCUGAGAGGGUGAACGGCCACAUUGGGACUGAGACACGGCCCAAACUCCUACGGGAGGCAGCAGUGGGGAAUAUUGGACAAUGGGGGAAACCCUGAUCCAAGCGACGCCGCGUGAGUGAAGAAGUAUUUCGGUAUGUAAAGCUCUAUCAGCAAGGAAGAUAAUGACGGUACUUGACUAAGAAGCCCCGGCUAACUACGUGCCAGCCGCAGC
rnacentral:rRNA from 1 species